rnacentral:rRNA from 1 species
UACGUAAGGUGCAAGCGUUAAUCGGAAUUACUGGGCGUAAAGCGUGCGCAGGCGGUUUUGUAAGCCAGAUGUGAAAUCCCCGGGCUUAACCUGGGAAUGGCAUUUGGGACUGCAAGGCUGGAGUUUGGCAGAGGAGACUGGAAUUCCUGGUGUAGCAGUGAAAUGCGUAGAUAUCAGGAGGAAUACCGAUGGCGAAGGCAGGUCUCUGGGCUGAAACUGACGCUCAUGCACGAAAGCGUGGGGAGCAAACAGG